rnacentral:rRNA from 1 species
UACGUAGGGUGCGAGCGUUAAUCGGAAUUACUGGGCGUAAAGCGUGCGCAGGCGGUUUUGUAAGCCAGAUGUGAAAUCCCCGGGCUCAACCUGGGAAUGGCAUUUGGGACUGCAAGGCUUGAGUGCGGCAGAGGAGACUGGAAUUCCUGGUGUAGCAGUGAAAUGCGCAGAUAUCAGGAGGAACACCAAUAGCGAAGGCGGUUCUCUGGGCCUGUACUGACGCUGAGGAGCGAAAGCGUGGGGAGCGAACAGG